GACGAACGCUGGCGGCGUGCUUAACACAUGCAAGUCGAACGGAGGAUUUAUUUCGGUAAAUCCUUAGUGGCGAACGGGUGAGUAACGCGUGGGCAACCUGCCCUUCAGAUGGGGACAACAUCCCGAAAGGGGUGCUAAUACCGAAUACGAUCGUUUUCCCGCAUGGGGAUGCGAUGAAAGAUGGCCUCUAUUUAUAAGCUAUCGCUGAAGGAUGGGCCUGCGUCUGAUUAGCUGGUUGGCGGGGUAAGAGCCCACCAAGGCGACGAUCAGUAGCCGGCCUGAGAGGGUGACCGGCCACACUGGAACUGAGACACGGUCCAGACUCCUACGGGAGGCAGCAGUGGGGAAUAUUGCACAAUGGGGGAAACCCUGAUGCAGCGACGCCGCGUGAGUGAAGAAGGUCUUCGGAUCGUAAAACUCUGUCCUUGGUGACGAAAGAAAUGACGGUAACCAAGGAGGAAGCCCCGGCUAACUACGUGCCAGCAGCCGCGGUAAUACGUAGGGGGCGAGCGUUGUCCGGAUUUACUGGGCGUAAAGGGUGAGUAGGCGGUCAUAUAAGUCAGGUGUAAAAGGCUAAGGCUUAACCAUAGUUAGCACUUGAAACUGUAUGACUUGAGUGCAGGAGAGGUAAGCGGAAUUCCUAGUGUAGCGGUGAAAUGCGUAGAUAUUAGGAGGAACACCGGUGGCGAAGGCGGCUUACUGGACUGUAACUGACGCUGAGUCACGAAAGCGUGGGUAGCAAACAGGAUUAGAUACCCUGGUAGUCCACGCUGUAAACGAUGAGUGCUAGGUGUUGGGCAGCAAUGCUCAGUGCCGAAGUAAACACAAUAAGCACUCCGCCUGGGGAGUACGUACGCAAGUAUGAAACUCAAAGGAAUUGACGGGGACCCGCACAAGCAGCGGAGCAUGUGGUUUAAUUCGAAGCAACGCGAAGAACCUUACCAAGGCUUGACAUCCCCUUGACAGAUGCAGAGAUGUAUCCUCCUCUUCGGAGGCAAGGGAGACAGGUGGUGCAUGGUUGUCGUCAGCUCGUGUCGUGAGAUGUUGGGUUAAGUCCCGCAACGAGCGCAACCCUUAUCCUUAGUUGCCAGCAUUUAAGGUGGGCACUCUAAGGAGACUGCCGGUGAUAAACCGGAGGAAGGUGGGGAUGACGUCAAAUCAUCAUGCCCCUUAUGUCUUGGGCUACACACGUGCUACAAUGGCGGUUACAGAGUGAGGCGAACCCGCGAGGGGGAGCGAACCACAAAAAGGCCGUCCCAGUUCGGACUGUAGUCUGCAACCCGACUGCACGAAGCUGGAAUCGCUAGUAAUCGCGAAUCAGAAUGUCGCGGUGAAUACGUUCCCGGGUCUUGUACACACCGCCCGUCACACCAUGGGAGUCGGAAAUGCCCGAAGCCAGUGACCCAACCGAAAGGAGGGAGCUGUCGAAGGUGGAGCCGGUAACUGGGGUG
rnacentral:rRNA from 1 species